rnacentral:rRNA from 1 species
GAUGAACGCUAGCUACAGGCUUAACACAUGCAAGUCGAGGGGCAGCAUGGUCUUAGCUUGCUAAGGCCGAUGGCGACCGGCGCACGGGUGAGUAACACGUAUCCAACCUGCCGUCUACUCUUGGACAGCCUUCUGAAAGGAAGAUUAAUACAAGAUGGCAUCAUGAGUCCGCAUGUUCACAUGAUUAAAGGUAUUCCGGUAGACGAUGGGGAUGCGUUCCAUUAGAUAGUAGGCGGGGUAACGGCCCACCUAGUCUUCGAUGGAUAGGGGUUCUGAGAGGAAGGUCCCCCACAUUGGAACUGAGACACGGUCCAAACUCCUACGGGAGGCAGCAGUGAGGAAUAUUGGUCAAUGGGCGCAGGCCUGAACCAGCCAAGUAGCGUGCAGGAUGACGGCCCUAUGGGUUGUAAACUGCUUUUAUAAGGGAAUAAAGUGAGUCUCGUGAGACUUUUUGCAUGUACCUUAUGAAUAAGGACCGGCUAA